GCUUGGGGGGCUUUAAGGAAGCAAAUGGACUUUCAGAACAGAGAUUGUCAAUAAAGGAGUAGGCUGACAUAUGGCCUCCGGAGUAUGGUUCCAGGAUUCAGUCACUAGGUGUUUUAGAUUUGAUUCCAUUGGAAAAAUACAGUGUGAUAAGUAACGUGCGUAAGAAGAUUAGUAUGUGCCCGACACAAGAGUUCGCUGAAUGAAUGAUCAGAAGAAAGGAGCUCCACCAAACUGAAGACCAUUUCUCAGGAGUAACUCUAAUACCAAGUUGAGUCAGACUCCUACCAAAGUUUACCACUUAUUGACUUGGAAUAGUUGCAUUUCAACAGAGAGAUGCUGGCUGACUGACAGGACUAUCACAUGCUUCUUUUCUUGAGGAAUACCCAGCCUGAGCUUUGGAUGUGUCCUCUGAGGAAGUACCCAUGACACAGACCACACUGGACACCAACUCUGAUAUCAGGGAAAGGUUCCACAACAGUUGAGUGUGAACAUGGGAUCACUGAGCUCCUUGGUGCAGAGCUGCUAAUGUCCCCUCUUGAGCUGACGGAGGCUGGUGCUGCCUUGAAGCAUGCCAUGCCAAUUCACAGCAAGGUCUUUAUUGUUGAAACUCUUGCAUAAUGACAUCUUUAUUCAUGUGAAAAUACAGGAUGAAUUUCAACUAUAUGAUAUUGUUUAUGUUCAUCAGAAAUGUUAUUUGUCUUUACAAAGUCUGGUUUCAAUGAACCGGCUAUGUAAUGGAUAUUAAAUAAACAUGGAAUUUUACACAUUCAUAAUAUUUGGUUUCUUGUUGUGAUUUUGAUGAACUACACUUUCAAGCACUG